rnacentral:misc_RNA from 1 species
CAAAAUCAACAUGUCCUGAACCAGCAACAAAGUAGUUGAACUUACCAAAUCGACCAAAAUCCACAUAUCCAUGCACAAUUAUAAGAAGUUGAGAAAAUAUGAACCAUGCCUAUAUCACAGAAAAUAUUUAUGCAUGCGGUGGUAUGAUAUUAUUUAAGCCAUAUAGAUGUGCAUGAGUGGUCCUGGGUUAACCAUCACUUUUAAUGUCACUACCACAACAAUAGCAGCCAUUAAUGAGAGAGUGAUCUGCAGUGAGAACCCUUGUAUUCAUGCAAUUUUUAGAAGUGAAACACCAGAAUCCUAUCCCUGUCUGAGAAAAAAAGAAAAAGAAAACUAGCACUUGCCUUAUUUGUCAAUCAAUGAAAAUUUUCUCAUUUGAUAAAGAACAUCCAUUUUUCUUUUUAAAAUCUAAUUUCAUAUAAUUAGGGAAAGAAUAUUUACCUUGGGUACACACAUGUUCGAGAAUGGCAAUCCAAUUAAGUGUCAAAGUCAUGACUUUCUUAAGUUUCAUGGUAAACUGUAUUUCCAUUUACAACCAUGGCCCACCAUCAAAGUAAAAGACGUUGAUGAUGAUAAGCAUAGUUACAAAACUUUUACCAAUUCCAUGAUUGUUAUUGCAAGAAAGCAUUAAACAAAAUUUAAUCACCAUUAAGUUGCAUGAGUGGUUAAGGUUUGCAAAUUGUGCUUAUGUUUUGACUAAAUAUAGUGAUUAAAAAAGAAAGCCUCUAUGUGAUUCUUCUCUACAUUUUUUUGAUUCCUUUGGAAUCAAUCAUUUUCUGCACCAACAUUUUCAUAAUUGAAAGACAAAUCCUAGAAAGAAAAAAUGAAAGCAAGAAAAAGGAGCAUGUUGGUAAAGUACUUGAAAGCAUGGUGUUACGGACUAACGUUUCUGAUCUUUUCUUAAUGUCUUUGCAAAAUGGAACCACCAAGUCAGUAUUUUCCUGCACCCAGACCAACUGAUAACAUAAUAUCCUGAUCCUCUGGAUAAAGAUUCAUAAAUAGCACACUCAAAACGUAAAUUACCUUUCCUUCAUACUCAAAAGGAUGCCCAAUCCAACUGUUCUAAAUAACAAUUUAAGAGAAAAAUAUUUUCAACAAAUACUAAAUCCAAAAAAAAAUAAAAAAAAAUAUCCUAUUUGAGAUCCAAACACUUAAUAAGAGUAAAAACUAAAAACCAUGAUUCCAAUAACCAUGUGAGCAUAGAUGACUACUAAGAAAGACCUAAACAGGACGCCCCAUUUGCGAAUUACCGACCCCAUCCAUCAUGCAGUCUUGCAGAAUGAAAUGUCUACUCCAAUGUGAGAAGAUGCUAAUAAUUAAAAUUGCAUACUCUGAACAUCGAUGCAUAAUCUCAGAACCCGUAUCAAUUUAGGAUACAAAGUCUACAGGCGACUAGAACUAUCAAGAGCAUAGCAGCCGGAACUCGGUACAGCAAUCGAGGCAAUCCCAGGUGCUUGAGACUAAUAUGCACUAGCAAUGUAAAGAAUGAACAGAACCGAAUCGGAGACUCUGCAUUGCUUCAAAAUUCAAGC